rnacentral:rRNA from 1 species
GAUGCAAACUGCGAAUACCGGAGAAUGUUAUCACGGGAGACACACGGCGGGUGCUAACGUCCGUCGUGAAGAGGGAAACAACCCAGACCGCCAGCUAAGGUCCCAAAGUCAUGGUUAAGUGGGAAACGAUGUGGGAAGGCCCAGACAGCCAGGAUGUUGGCUUAGAAGCAGCCAUCAUUUAAAGAAAGCGUAAUAGCUCACUGGUCGAGUCGGCCUGCGCGGAAGAUGUAACGGGGCUAAACCAUGCACCGAAGCUGCGGCAGCGACGCUGAUGCGUUGUUGGGUAGGGGAGCGUUCUGUAAGCCUGCGAAGGUGUGCUGUGAGGCAUGCUGGAGGUAUCAGAAGUGCGAAUGCUGACAUAAGUAACGAUAAAGCGGGUGAAAAGCCCGCUCGCCGGAAGACCAAGGGUUCCUGUCCAACGUUAAUCGGGGCAGGGUGAGUCGACCCCUAAGGCGAGGCCGAAAGGCGUAGUCGAUGGGAAACAGGUUAAUAUUCCUGUGCUUGGUGUUACUGCGAAGGGGGGACGGAGAAGGCUAUGUUGGCCGGGCGACGGUUGUCCCGGUUUAAGCGUGUAGGCUGGUUUUCCAGGCAAAUCCGGAAAAUCAAGGCUGAGGCGUGAUGACGAGGCACUACGGUGCUGAAGCAACAAAUGCCCUGCUUCCAGGAAAAGCCUCUAAGCAUCAGGUAACAUCAAAUCGUACCCCAAACCGACACAGGUGGUCAGGUAGAGAAUACCAAGGCGCUUGAGAGAACUCGGGUGAAGGAACUAGGCAAAAUGGUGCCGUAACUUCGGGAGAAGGCACGCUGAUAUGUAGGUGAAGUCCCUCGCGGAUGGAGCUGAAAUCAGUCGAAGAUACCAGCUGGCUGCAACUGUUUAUUAAAAACACAGCACUGUGCAAACACGAAAGUGGACGUAUACGGUGUGACGCCUGCCCGGUGCCGGAAGGUUAAUUGAUGGGGUCAGCGCAAGCGAAGCUCUUGAUCGAAGCCCCGGUAAACGGCGGCCGUAACUAUAACGGUCCUAAGGUAGCGAAAUUCCUUGUCGGGUAAGUUCCGACCUGCACGAAUGGCGUAAUGAUGGCCAGGCUGUCUCCACCCGAGACUCAGUGAAAUUGAACUCGCUGUGAAGAUGCAGUGUACCCGCGGCAAGACGGAAAGACCCCGUGAACCUUUACUAUAGCUUGACACUGAACAUUGAGCCUUGAUGUGUAGGAUAGGUGGGAGGCUUUGAAGUGUGGACGCCAGUCUGCAUGGAGCCGACCUUGAAAUACCACCCUUUAAUGUUUGAUGUUCUAACGUGGACCCGUGAUCCGGGUUGCGGACAGUGUCUGGUGGGUAGUUUGACUGGGGCGGUCUCCUCCUAAAGAGUAACGGAGGAGCACGAAGGUUGGCUAAUCCUGGUCGGACAUCAGGAGGUUAGUGCAAUGGCAUAAGCCAGCUUGACUGCGAGCGUGACGGCGCGAGCAGGUGCGAAAGCAGGUCAUAGUGAUCCGGUGGUUCUGAAUGGAAGGGCCAUCGCUCAACGGAUAAAAGGUACUCCGGGGAUAACAGGCUGAUACCGCCCAAGAGUUCAUAUCGACGGCGGUGUUUGGCACCUCGAUGUCGGCUCAUCACAUCCUGGGGCUGAAGUAGGUCCCAAGGGUAUGGCUGUUCGCCAUUUAAAGUGGUACGCGAGCUGGGUUUAGAACGUCGUGAGACAGUUCGGUCCCUAUCUGCCGUGGGCGCUGGAGAACUGAGGGGGGCUGCUCCUAGUACGAGAGGACCGGAGUGGACGCAUCACUGGUGUUCGGGUUGUCAUGCCAAUGGCACUGCCCGGUAGCUAAAUGCGGAAGAGAUAAGUGCUGAAAGCAUCUAAGCACGAAACUUGCCCCGAGAUGAGUUCUCCCUGACUCCUUGAGAGUCCUGAAGGAACGUU